AGAACGAACGCUGGCGGCAGGCUUAACACAUGCAAGUCGAACGGGCCCUUCGGGGGUCAGUGGGCAGACGGGUGAGUAACACGUGGGAACGUACCUUUCAGUUCGGAAUAACCCAGGGAAACUUGGGCUAAGACCGGAUACGCCCUUUUGGGGGAAAGAUUUAUCGCUGAGAGAUCGGCCCGCGUCUGAUUAGCUAGUUGGUGAGGUAAAGGCUCGACCAAAGGCGACGAUCAGUAGCUGGUCUGGAGAGGAUGAUCAGCCACAUUGGGAUGAGACAACGGCCCAAACUCCUACGGGAGGCAGACAGUCGGGGAAUAUUGGACAAGUGGGACGCAAAGGCCUAGGAUUCCCGAAGGCC
rnacentral:rRNA from 1 species